rnacentral:piRNA from 1 species
GGAAAAUCAGUCACUAGGACCUUUUUC